GCCCCGUUAGCUCAGUUGGUAGAGCAGUCGCCUUUUAAGCGAACGGUCGCAGGUUCGAAUCCUGCACGGGGCA
rnacentral:tRNA from 1 species